GCUAAUGUCUAAAUCACCCAGAAUGCACCAAUCUCAUCAGAUCUCAGAAGCUAAGCAAGCGUGAGCCAAGAUAAUGCUUGGAUGGGUGACUACCAUGCAUGCAUACGAGGUUGGCAUAGGUU
rnacentral:rRNA from 1 species